CCUACGGGUGGCAGCAGUGGGGAAUAUUGGACAAUGGGCGAAAGCCUGAUCCAGCCAUGCCGCGUGUGUGAAGAAGGCCUUCGGGUUGUAAAGCACUUUCAGUGGGGAAGAAAGCCUUGGGGCUAAUACCCUCGAGGAAGGACAUUACCCACAGAAGAAGCACCGGCUAACUCCGUGCCAGCAGCCGCGGUAAUACGGAGGGUGCGAGCGUUAAUCGGAAUUACUGGGCGUAAAGCGCGCGUAGGCGGUCUGAUAAGCCGGUUGUGAAAGCCCCGGGCUCAACCUGGGAACGGCAUCCGGAACUGUCAGGCUAGAGUGCAGUAGAGGAAGGUAGAAUUCCCGGUGUAGCGGUGAAAUGCGUAGAGAUCGGGAGGAAUACCAGUGGCGAAGGCGGCCUUCUGGACUGACACUGACGCUGAGGUGCGAAAGCGUGGGUAGCAAACAGGAUUAGAUACCCCAGUAGUC
rnacentral:rRNA from 1 species